CUCCAAUGGUAGAGCAACUGACUCGUAACCAGUAGGUUGCAGGUUCGAUUCCUGUCACCGGC
rnacentral:tRNA from 1 species